ACUUAAAUUGAAGAGUUUGAUCAUGGCUCAGAUUGAACGCUGGCGGCAGGCCUAACACAUGCAAGUCGAGCGGCAGCGGGAAAGUAGCUUGCUACUUUUGCCGGCGAGCGGCGGACGGGUGA
rnacentral:rRNA from 1 species